rnacentral:tRNA from 1 species
GGAGUGUAGCGCAGCCUGGUAGCGCACAUCGUUCGGGACGAUGGGGUCGCAGGUUCAAGCUGCCGCCUA